AAAGAUUUAUCGGUGUAAGAUAGGCUCGCGUCUGAUUAGCUAGUUGGAAGGGUAAAGGCCUACCAAGGCGACGAUCAGUAGCCGGUCUGAGAGGAUGAACGGCCACAUUGGAACUGAGACACGGUCCAAACUCCUACGGGAGGCAGCAGUGGGGAAUAUUGCACAAUGGGGGGAACCCUGAUGCAGCGACGCCGCGUGAGCGAAGAAGGUUUUCGA
rnacentral:rRNA from 1 species